UUAAAAAAAUAAUUAUAAAAUAUAAUGAUGUGGACUUCCAUGUUAGCAUUUUAUUGGAAGAACAGUCGGAUUCUAGUAAGGACUUUAAUGAUACUCAAAUCGAAGUCAAAGGAGUUUUAUUAUACAAAUUAAUAUUUAUUUUAAAUUAUAAAAAGUAAAAAUAAAAUAUUUACAAUUCAAAUUAAAAAAAAAUAGAGUUUAAAUAAAUUAAAUUUAAUGAGUUAAUUUAAAUCACUUACAUUCAUUUUCAUUUACACUUAUCCCCAACAAUAGUCUCUGUUGCUCUCUUGCAUCAGCCUAUCUCCUCUUCUUCUUUUGUCCCUAUGCACAUCCGAUCUUCGUUCCUGUCACUCUUUGUCACAGCCCUGAUCUCACUCUCUAUCCCAAUCUUAAUGUUGUUCUUUUUCUACAGGCCAUCAAUCUCAACCUACACCCUGCAGAUUUGCCACUGCUCCUUUAUCAUGAUAUUAUAGGAGUAUAAUAAUAAUAAAUAACUACAAUGAAGUUGUUUACAGGGAAGAAUUGGUAGUAUUUUGCUGAAAAAAAUAAGAAAAAUUCAUUUCAUAAAGGAAUGCUCUGGAUGCACCAUACGAGGGAAAUUAUUCUAUUCUCCAAGCACACAGAAGGAAUGCAGCUCCCGGCUGAAGAAUUAUGUGCUAAUCAUUUCUAAUGCACUACGAACUCACAGACGGAAAUUUCACUAGUGACAUUACAGAACUUUAGUAAAUGCACAACUCGCUUGGAUAGACGUCUCAGGUUGAGACUUGGCCAUCUCUGGGUGGGGUAUUGCCAAACUUCCAUGUAUGACGGAUGUUCCUAGUUCUCAACCCAGCAACUUCAUCGGCUGGAACAGCAUCGGAGACUUCCUUAAACUCAUCUUUUGUCAGCUUAAUUCUCAGUGCUCCAAUAUUGUUAUCCAGAUUUUUAAUCUUGGUUGUGCCUAAACAAAGCCCAAGAACACAUUGCAUACCAGAAUUUUGGAAAGUCAAUCUAAAUAUCUGCAGUUCAAAUUGGAGAAUUGAAGGCAUGAACAAAAGGGAGAAGCUGACCCGCCAGGGAUGGGAACUACAACAUCUCCUUGAUUGAGAACCCAAGCAAGGGCAAGCUGAGCAGGAGUGCAUAGCCAAAUUUUCUACUCGACUAUAUAAUACCUUAUUCUGUUCUAAAUUUUCUCCUGUGAACCUUGGCAAGAAUCUCAGAUACAGGUUUUGAGUUUUAGUACCAGAAAACUAUCUGGAGGCACUCUUUCCACAACUGCUCUGCCGCCAAAAAAAACCCUGACCUAGAGGACUAUAUGGAACUAUUCCUAUUCCAAGUUCCCUGCAAAGAGGAAUCAUUUAUUCCUCAAGGUCUCGAGACCAAAGUGACCAUUCCAUUUGCACAGCAGUGAUCGGAUGAAUUGCAUGUGCCCUCCUUAUUGUGUCAGGACUUGCUUCAGAUAACCCAAUGUACUUAAUUUUUCCUUCUUCCACUAAUUUCUUAAGCUCCCUCAUAGUUUCCUCUAUUGGUACAGAAGUGUCAAUGCGAUGUUGAUAGUACAGAUCAAUAUAUUCAACGCCAAGACGAUUGAGGCUAGCCUCACAGCAUGCACGGACGUAUUCAGGUUUGCCAUUAAUUAAAGCAUUUUUAAAAUCGAAGUUGUUGACAGCAACACCGAAUUUUGUAGCCAACUGUAUUUUUUCUCUAGGCAAUUGCUUCAAGGCCUGCAAGAAGCAAGUACGAAUCGUGAUGGCAUAUAUGGUGCUGGAGCAACAGAUUUCUUGGUUGGACACUUACCUUGCCAACCAAGACUUCAUUGGUGUAAGGUCCAUAAACAUCAGCUGUGUCUAAAAAUGUAAUUCCUCUGUUGAAUGACUCCUUGAUGAUUGAAAUGCCAACUUCUUCUGGGACAGGGGAGUUGUAACCACCACUAAGCCCCAUACAUCCAAACCCUAGCUUUGAGACCUGAAAUUAGAUCAACAUCACCAAAAAUGAACGAGAAGACAAAUGAAAAGCGUAAGGAAACCAGCAGUUCAAGAAUAUAUGAAACAAAACAUUACCAAACAAAAGUCCUAUUCAGAUUUAAAGAACAAAUUCAAAUUAGUUAUUUCUUUAUUGGGUUUGUAUUAAUUAAUAGAGAAUUAAAAAUGAAUUAUUGAUCAACAAUGAAUAAACAAGAACAUAAAGGAAUUGUAAUUGCAUAAGAUGGAAUGGGUUUUACCUCUAAUCCUUGGGUGCCCAAUUUCACCCUUGGAAUUACAAAUUUCUGCUUAUCUGCCAUCUUUCCCUACUCUGCUCCUGUUUCCUUUCCUGUUGCUGUGGAUGGAAUGAUUGGCUAGACUAAUAUGGCCAGUUGACUAGACUAAUAUGGCCAGCGACGUAUGGCCACAUGUCAGCUCUCAGAAACGUGUGAUGUGCAAUCAACAAAUGAGAUUUGCUUUGGUUACAUACCAGUGAGAUUUUGGCUAAUUUUAUUUCUAAAUCAGCGGGUUAAUUUAGUAAAUUUUUAACUUUACAUGAUUUUUAUAAAAUAAAAUUAAAAUUUUAUAAAUUUUAUAAAAAAAAUUAAAUUUUAAAUUUUAUGAAAAUAUCCAUAAAAUUAAAUAUAUUUCAAAAUUUUUUAACAAUAAACUUAGGGUAUAUUGAU
rnacentral:misc_RNA from 1 species